UCCUACGGGAGGCAGCAGUAGGGAAUCUUCCGCAAUGGACGAAAGUCUGACGGAGCAACGCCGCGUGAGUGAUGAAGGUUUUCGGAUCGUAAAGCUCUGUUGUUAGGGAAGAACAAGUGCCGUUCAAAUAGGGCGGCACCUUGACGGUACCUAACCAGAAAGCCACGGCUAACUACGUGCCAGCAGCCGCGGUAAUACGUAGGUGGCAAGCGUUGUCCGGAAUUAUUGGGCGUAAAGGGCUCGCAGGCGGUUUCUUAAGUCUGAUGUGAAAGCCCCCGGCUCAACCGGGGAGGGUCAUUGGAAACUGGGGAACUUGAGUGCAGAAGAGGAGAGUGGAAUUCCACGUGUAGCGGUGAAAUGCGUAGAGAUGUGGAGGAACACCAGUGGCGAAGGCGACUCUCUGGUCUGUAACUGACGCUGAGGAGCGAAAGCGUGGGGAGCGAACAGGAUUAGAUACCCUGGUAGUCC
rnacentral:rRNA from 1 species